UUUUUUUUAAUGUUUAUUUGCAUGAUUCUAGUUAUUAUAUCAGCAGAAAAUAUGAACAUGUAGCUGUAAAACCAGGAAUUAUUUUAAUGUGUAAGGAUACUAAAUAGUUGUUGACUUUUCCAAUUUAAAAUUAUAAACAAAGAAGGACCUUUAUCAGGUUGGACACAACACAUAGGGAUCCCCCUCAAUAUUAGGACAUUAAAAACCACCUUUUAAGUACAAAUGAGUACACAUUCAUAUAAUAUGAUAUUAUUUGAAGAAACUUUUCCCAAAGAACUAUACAUCUUAUGAUCUAUCUGGUAUUAUACAUGUAUGGUCAACACAUGUCCAAGAACUUUGAUAUGUUCUUGGCCUUUCAUCUUCUUUAUUAUUCAAAACAAUAGGACUCUUCAUUUAGAAAAGCUGUUACAAAUAUAAUGUCAG
rnacentral:lncRNA from 1 species